UUUUGCGCAAUGGGCGAAAGCCUGACGCAGCAACGCCGCGUGGGGGAUGAAGGCCUUCGGGUUGUAAACCCCUUUCGAUCGGAAAGAAACUUUCAAUGAUGAAUAAUCAUUGAAACUGACGGUACCGAGAGAAGAAGCCACGGCUAACUCUGUGCCAGCAGCCGCGGUAAGACAGAGGUAGCAAGCGUUGUUCGGAUUUACUGGGCGUAAAGCGCGUGUAGGCGGUUUGGUAAGUCAGGCGUGAAAUCCUAUAGCUUAACUAUAGAACUGCGUUUGAUACUGCCUUACUUGAGUGCGGGAGAGGAGAGUGGAAUUCCCGGUGUAGCGGUGAAAUGCGUAGAUAUCGGGAAGAACACCGGGGCGAAGGCGACUUUCUGACCGCAACUGACGCGAGACGCGAAA
rnacentral:rRNA from 1 species